GUGAACGCUGGCGGUAGGCCUAACACAUGCAAGUCGAACGGCAGCACAGUAAGAGCUUGCUCUUACGGGUGGCGAGUGGCGGACGGGUGAGGAAUACAUCGGAAUCUACUUUUUCGUGGGGGAUAACGUAGGGAAACUUACGCUAAUACCGCAUACGAUCUACGGGUGAAAGCAGGGGAUCUUCGGACCUUGCGCGAUUGAAUGAGCCGAUGUCGGAUUAGCUAGUUGGCGGGGUAAAGGCCCACCAAGGCGACGAUCCGUAGCUGGUCUGAGAGGAUGAUCAGCCACACUGGAACUGAGACACGGUCCAGACUCCUACGGGAGGCAGCAGUGGGGAAUAUUGGACAAUGGGCGCAAGCCUGAUCCAGCCAUACCGCGUGGGUGAAGAAGGCCUUCGGGUUGUAAAGCCCUUUUGUUGGGAAAGAAAAGCAGCAGGUUAAUACCCCGCUGUUCUGACGGUACCCAAAGAAUAAGCACCGGCUAACUUCGUG
rnacentral:rRNA from 1 species